rfam:Operophtera brumata OBRT01_Sc06883, whole genome shotgun sequence.
CGUUCUAUGGCCAAAUUGGUAAAGACAUCGCCGAUCACAGGCAAGGCUGCGGGUUCGAGUCCCGCUGGAACGG